rnacentral:rRNA from 1 species
UGGGGAAUAUUGCACAAUGGGGGAAACCCUGAUGCAGCGACGCCGCGUGAGCGAAGAAGGCUUUCGAGUCUUAAAGCUUUGUCCUAUGAGAAGAUAAUGACGGUAUCAUAGGAGGAAGCCCUGGCUAAAUACGUGCCAGCAGCCGCGGUAAUACGUAUGGGGCGAGCGUUGUCCGGAAUUAUUGGGCGUAAAGGGUACGUAGGCGGUUUUUUAAGUCAGGUGUCAACGCGUGGAGCUUAACUCCAUUAAGCACUUGAAACUGCAAGACUUUAGAGACAGAGAGGAUAGUGGAAUUCCUAGUGUAGCGGUGCAAUGCGUAGAUAUUAGGAGGAAUACCGGUGGCGAAGGCGACUUUCUGGACUUUUUCCGACGCUCAGGUACGCAAGCGUGGGGGGCAAACAGG